AUACGUAGGGAGCGAGCGUUGUCCGGAAUUACUGGGUGUAAAGGGAGCGUAGGCGGGACGGCAAGUCAGAUGUGAAAUACAUGGGCUCAACCCAUGGGCUGCAUUUGAAACUGCUGUUCUUGAGUGAAGUAGAGGUAAGCGGAAUUCCUGGUGUAGCGGUGAAAUGCGUAGAUAUCAGGAGGAACACCGGUGGCGAAGGCGGCUUACUGGGCUUUUACUGACGCUGAGGCUCGAAAGCGUGGGGAGCAAACAGGAUUAGAUACCCUGGUAGUCCACGCUGUAAACGAUGAUCACUAGGUGUGGGGGGACUGACCCCUUCCGUGCCGCAGUUAACACAAUAAGUGAUCCACCUGGGGAGCACGGCCGCAAGGUUGAAACUCAAAUGAAUUGACGGGG
rnacentral:rRNA from 1 species